rnacentral:rRNA from 1 species
GACGUAGGGCGCGAGCGUUGUCCGGAUUUAUUGGGCGUAAAGAGCUCGUAGGCGGCUUGUUGCGUCGACCGUGAAAACCCGGGGCUCAACUUCGGGCUUGCGGUCGAUACGGGCGGGCUAGAGUUCGGUAGGGGAGACUGGAAUUCCUGGUGUAGCGGUGAAAUGCGCAGAUAUCAGGAGGAACACCAAUGGCGAAGGCAGCUCGCUGGGACGGUACUGACGCUGAGACGCGAAAGCGUGGGGAGCAAACAGG